AUAUCUUAUAUUGCCAUAAGAUUUGGUUGGAUCUGUUCUUAUCAGUGUAAUAUCUAAUAUGUGGGUCAUCAACCCACAUGAUAUUAACUCAAUUUUUUAAGGGGGAGUGUCCAUUAAGGUAGCUUGCUACUUGGGCUCUCGCGCGUCGCCCAUGCAUUGCACUACUGCACGGGCCUGGCGCACCCCUC
rnacentral:snRNA from 1 species